UACAGAGGGUGCAAGCGUUGUUCGGAAUUACUGGGCGUAAAGCGCGUGUAGGCUGCUUCGCAAGUCGGAUGUGAAAGCCCUGGGCUCAACCCAGGAAGUGCAUUCGAAACUGCAGAGCUGGAGUCCUGGAGAGGAAGGCGGAAUUCUCGGUGUAGAGGUGAAAUUCGUAGAUAUCGAGAGGAACACCGGUGGCGAAGGCGGCCUUCUGGACAGUGACUGACGCUGAGACGCGAAAGCGUGGGGAGCGAACAGG
rnacentral:rRNA from 1 species